UACAGAGGUCUCGAGCGUUGUUCGGAUUCAUUGGGCGUAAAGGGCGCGUAGGCGGCGGGGUAAGUCUGGUGUGAAAUCUCGGAGCUCAACUCCGAAAUUGCACUGGAUACUGCUCUGCUAGAGGGCUGGAGAGGAGAUCGGAAUUCACGGUGUAGCAGUGAAAUGCGUAGAUAUCGUGAGGAAGACCAGUGGGGAAGGCGGAUCUCUGGACAGCUCCUGACGCUGAGGCGCGAAGGCUAGGGGAGCAAACGGG
rnacentral:rRNA from 1 species